rnacentral:lncRNA from 1 species
AUACCUAACGAACAAAACAUCAGGGAGGGAGUAUUGCUAACAGCGAAGCGUAUUUAUAUUAUCUGUAGGUUGUACCAGCUUGAAGAAAUAUUCCGACUGAAAAUAUUUGUAUGUUAAUAUGUUAUAUGGGCCAGAGUCUUCAUGGUUGACACCACCUUCAUUGUUGUACCCAGAUCUGGGCCAAUCAAACUGUGUAACCAUCUAUCAUCCUGGAGGUCUCAAGACGAGGUCGUGCCCCAGAAGCUCUGGAGUUUGGAUAUAAUGGUAAUUACAUGCCUUUUACUUAGAAAUUUCAACUUCAUUUAUGGAUAGUAGUUAUUAUCUUCCAAUGGUUUAUAUGCUUCUAUCACUUGCAGAAUUGGAGCAAUACAAUUAUUAAGCACAUCAGGCCACAAGCAGAAAUAAGAACCUUCUCUAUGGUACCUUAACAUUUUUAUAAAUUGCAUUUUCAUCUACGGCGUUGGUGGUCCUAAGCUACCCCAUGUUUCUGGCUACAUUGUUCUUCCUAAUAGAUAUCCGGGUUUGAGAAAAUAGCAGGCGAUAUGGGAGAUUAGGUGCUCCUGCGAUCCGAUUUUUAGGAUAAUAGGGAUUGAAGGCGGUAAUGCACGGUUUGCUUCAAGCUGUACACUGAAUCUGUGGAAGUCAUGCACGAUAUGCCUUUCUGGAAGACAACGUUGGAUAUACCUUUAAAGUUGAUGAAGAUGAUCCGGCUGCAUCAUGUAAAAUUUUGAUACAUCUGCUUCAUAUGUGCAGUUCUUAUUAAUUUCUGCACGAGUUAGUUUGCUGGAAAAGGUUGUAUUUUGAUGUGAACUAUGAAUUUUGUUUUUGGUUCAUGUUGUCGGCACGACUAUGGAUGGAUGUAAAUCUUUUGAAAAACAAACAA